rnacentral:rRNA from 1 species
CCUACGUAUUGCUGCCGUGGGGAAUAUUGGGCAAUGGGCGCAAGCCUGACCCAGCAACGCCGCGUGAAGGAAGAAGGCUUUCGGGUUGUAAACUUCUUUUAUGAGGGACGAAAGAAAUGACGGUACCUCAUGAAUAAGCCACGGCUAACUACGUGCCAGCAGCGGCGGUAAUACGUAGGUGGCAAGCGUUAUCCGGAUUUACUGGGUGUAAAGGGCGUGUAGGCGGGACUGCAAGUCAGAUGUGAAAAUUAUGGGCUCAACCCAUAACCUGCAUUUGAAACUGUAGUUCUUGAGUGAUGGAGAGGCAGGCGGAAUUCCGUGUGUAGCGGUGAAAUGCGUAGAUAUACGGAGGAACACCGGUGGCGAAGGCGGCUUACUGGACUGUAACUGACGUUGAGGCUCGAAGGCGUGGGGAGCAAACAGGAUUAGAUACCCCUGUAGUC